rnacentral:lncRNA from 1 species
AUGGAAUACAUCUCCAUUCUGGAUCUCAAGUGAGAUAGAUUGAGAAAUAACAGGAUUUGAGGUAUUUGGGAAUAUCUCAUUUACAAGGAUCUAUUCUAGUCCAUUCUAUUCUAUUUAAUCCAAAGUGAAUUUGCUCAGAGAUUCCCAUGGAGGCUGGCAGAAAUAGGAAUCUUUAGGAGAAAAACCAACACCUUGACACAGAGAUGCACAACUUGGGAGUGAACAGCACUUUCCAGGACUGGCAAGAAUUUCCUUCCUGAAUUUCCUGAAUUCAUUUUCCUGAAUUUCCAGACUCUGCAGGAUUCUGCUAUCCUGGCAUCGUGGCUCUUUGGAGAAAAUCCAAUUUAUUCUUCAACAAAACCACUUUGCUGCAACACCACAAGACAUCAAUGAUGAUUUUGGGGCUACUUUUGAGCCUCAAAACCUCACUCUGCCUUCUCCUGAUCAACCAUCCCAGAGAAAAAUGAAAACUAUUUCCCCACCACAAAGCAGGAAAAACCCACCCAAAGCUCUAACCCAGCAAGACAGAGAUGCAGGUGUGGGAACCACCCAGGAAUUCCCAAUCUUUAUUUUCACUCUCUCCACAUCCAACUUUUUCCCCAGCCCUGCUUCAUCCCAAUAAAAAUUUAAUUAUUUUGUGAUUUUUGCUUGUCCUGGGACAAAAAUCCAGUGCAUAAAUAUCCCUGUUCCUAAAGGGAUGGAGGAAAGACUCACCUCAAACUUUCCCUUUGGAUUAAACAAAAACAACAACAAAAACCCAAAACAAAAACAACAAAAACACCACAACUUUUUCCCAUAAAUUUGGGUAGGAGCAAAGGUCCUCAUUCUAGGAAAAUUUGGAUUAAAAAUGGAUGUGGAGCAUUUCUGUGAAGUUGUGCAAAUACAGAUGAGAGUAGACAACACCAACACUUGGAAAAACUCAAAUCUAUGUUUUCCAACCAAACUGCCCUGCCCAGGAGCCAAAAAAAUCCCAGUAAAAUCCCAGUAAGACCCAUUGGUUUGUAUUAAUACCCCAAAUCAUACUGGGAGAGGCCAGAAUCCCAGAGCCAGGCUCCAUUCCCUGCUCCUGUUUGGGAUGGUUUCCUCCAGGGAGGCUGGAGAGCUUCUUCCUAUGGGAAAAAUCCCAAUUUCUUCUCCUGAAAAUGCCAAGGGGGAACAAUUAUUUUUAAAUGCUCCUAUUGUUGAGGAGCCAUUUAGGGCUGGGAAUGAUGGAUUAUCCCAGGCUGGAGCAGGGAUGC